rnacentral:lncRNA from 1 species
CCUCCAAACACAUGCUCAAGUAAAUCCCAAAGCUCCAAUGAAGUCAUAGUAGGAGAACUGCCUAGUUCUUCAUCAGGAAAUAAAAGAAGAAAAAACCAAGAGAGGUAUCAGAAAAUUAUUACCAAGAAACAGGCCGUCACAAAUAUGUCAGGACCUGAUGAGAAGUUAACUAAACUGCAGCCUGUCGUCAAACUAUUCAAAUUAGAUUUCCAGAAAAUUAAAAAUGGCAUCUCUGCGUCUCAUGCUGAUUAUUUUUUGCCUGUCGUCGGUGGAUCCACUUUGACAAGUUCACAAAAAAUUCGUCGAAGGAGGCUCACUUAUCCAGAGAAGAGUUUCACGAGUGGUGUCCAUCCAACUGCCUCCGUAUCAAACCAGCUGAAAAACACAAAUCAGAUGUCCCUUUCUAAACCUUCAAAAUCUGUAAAUCCGCGUCAUUCAUCAAAAAGCACCAAGCAGAGUUUGGAGCAAGUCAAUCAUUCUCUCUGUGAGAGGGAAAGUAUGGAAAGUCCUGACUCAAAAGUACAGAAAGCCGAUGACUUUUUAUCAAUGCCCCAUCCUUCAACUUACAAUCAGACAAAGACUGGUGCGGCAAAACAGAAUGUUGACUUUUGUUUUCACGCAUCCAGUUCAGAAAAAGAAGUAGAUUUUACCAAGGGUCGAUCACAAUCCAACAGUUUUACUGAUGUUAGAAAAAAGGACCCUUUUGCUUUCAGUAACAAGAGCCAAUUUUUUGACUUCAAUGAAAGCGGUAUUCAUGUCAAUAGCCCUUCAGCUCCUAACCAGUCAGGGGCCUUAAUCAAUGCAACAGAUUCAGAUUUAGACUCAGACCCUGAUUCUGUUUUUAAGAUAAAAAAAAAUUAAAAAAAAAGAAAAACGUCUAGGUAUCUCACUCGUCAAAAAAAAACUUACUUCCGACAAACCCGUCAGAAAACAUCCUUCCACUGUAAUUCAGUCAUCUGACUCCGAUAGCAGUAUUGUUACAAAAACUCUCUCAGGGGAUUCAUCGCCAAGGGAAGAUGAUAAUGAAAUUUUGCAAACAAAUAAUGAAGAAGUGAACGAUGAAGAUUUUAUUCUGCCAUUGCUUUCAGUGCAUGACUCGAGCAACAAAGCUACCUCACAAUUUUCUGAAAAAAGUGUAGUUGUGGAAAAUUACGAGAAAGAUAUCCUUGAAAAGCCUAACGAGAUACCAGAAGUUGCACAACCCUUUCACUCAGAUUCCAAAAGUAUGAUUUCUUUGUUCAGUGAUCAUGCAAGCAGCGAUGAAAAUGAAGGUAUACAGAGUUUUUACAACACAACCAUGUUUCAAAAUUUGAAUUUUGUGGAUUUAAGAGAGACCGAGAGAGAAGGAGAAAAAAUAUUUUUUAGAAACAG